CCUAUGAUACGAGGAGCAGACAAUGAAAUAUAUAUAAAACAAUUGUAUCUGUUAACUUGUCAGAACUUCUGCAUACAGGAUAUAACAUUAGGCAGAAAACUUGCAACAAGAACAAGUAACGGAAAUCUGAUUAAAAGCUGGCAUUCCCCUACUACAGCAGGACCCAAGGCUCCCCAUUCCCUUGAAAAUCGGGGAAAGAACCCUGCCACAGAACCAAAAAGUAAUUAUGACCAUCACUUCACUGCAUGCUGACAUGGAGUACUAUCAGUCACCGUUGACACAGCAGUAUAAUUUGCUGGCAUCCUGGACCAAACUCAGCAUCAAGCGGUGCCCAAACAGGCAGCGGAAGCAACUAACGCCAAUGAGUAUGAGCAGGAGGGAGGCCGCACAAGGGUCAGGGAGAGCUAUUCACGUGAACGCAUUGCAAAAGUGGCAAUCAUGGGAAAAUCGAUGAACACAUGAUCUGCAAGGAUUUCAGAACAUAGGUUUGGUUCUUAUCUCACACACAAGCAAUGUUCUUAAGGCGUUGAGGCGAGGUGUGGCGCCCUACCUCCUCUGGACGCCUAGGCGAGGCGAGGCGACGCCAUACACCAACGUAAAAGCAGAAUAUUAGCAGUAUAAUUAGCAGUAUAAAGGGGAAAAGAAAUGAGAAAAGAAGAAAAAAAAGAGAAAAGGCCCAGGAAGAAUGUAAGGCCCAGCCCACCAAAUCACUACCAGCCCAUAAACUACUCAUCUCCUCCCAUCAGCCCACCCGCUCCCCCCCUACCCUAUCUCGUCGUGCGCCGCCACUCCCUUCGCGGCCACCCCAGACGGAGCACCAGCGCCGCCAGUUCUCCUCCCUACCGCGGCCACCCCUAGAUGGAGCACCAGCGCCGCCGCUCCUCCUCCCUGCCGCGGCCACCCCCAGAUGGAGCACCAGUGCCCCCGCUCCUCCCUGCCGCGGCCACCCCCAGAUGGAGCUAUGGCGCCGCCGCUCCUCCCUGCCGGACGGCGCGGAGGCGGUGCUGCCCAGGCGCAGCACUGUCGGAGACGGCAGGUACAACAUCAUCUUGCUAUCGCUGAUCGGUUUUCGUCCUCUUUCUCCCUUCUCCCUCCCUCCAUCCCUUCCUGACAUGAAUUAGGCAAGGCGUCCAGGACGCCUUGGAGCCUUGGAGCGCCUCAUCGCCUAGGCGACGACUAGGCGACGCCUAGGCGACGCCUUAAGAACUAUGCACACAAGGAUCAACAAGCAGGUGCACCACACGUGUAAUCUUUUUUUUCUUUUUUAAAGAUCCUCAUGCAUACCAUCACUAGGUCUUAGGUAUGUCAAUUUCUAACAUUGACAAUCACAUUCUCCUUAAGGCCCAUGAGUUCCUUAGUGAUGUGAUAAGCCAAGUGUACGUCCAUGAGUUUCUACAUGAGCUGAUCAACCAAGUGAAGGUUCUUGUUACUGUCUUGAGAUGACCAAGAAAGUGCUAGACAUUGUCAGACAGGCUCCUGAUGGAGGGCGGGGUCUGCUGAUAGCCGAAACAGGAAGCAGACUGAUGGCCGUGGAGGAGGACCUGAUUGUGACUCCAUCCAACUGCACAAGCUUGGUACAGCUGAGUGUUUGUCCUUCUGAUGUCAAGUUCAUUUAUUUAGAGUUGUGUUUGCUGAAACUGAGUUGCCAGACUUGUUUGACUGAUGCUGUGAAACGCUAAGCAUUCUGUCCUCAUGCAAUUCAAUGGAUAGGGCAGA